rnacentral:rRNA from 1 species
AGGACGAACGCUGGCGGCGUGCUUAACACAUGCAAGUCACGGGGGUCCCGCAAGGGAUAACCGGCGAACGGGUGCGUAACACGUGAACAACCUGCCCUCGUGUGGGGGAUAGCCGGGCUAACGCCCGGGUAAUACCGCAUACGUUCUCUUUGGGGAGUCCCGAGGAGAGGAAAGCUCCGGCGCACGGGGGAGGGUUCGCGGCCUAUCAGCUAGUUGGCGGGUAAUGGCCCACGAAGGCGACGACGGGUAGC